UACGUAGGGGGCUAGCGUUGUUCGGAUUUACUGGGCGUAAAGGGUGUGUAGGCGGUUAUAUAAGUGCGAAUUUAAAUACACAGGCUUAACCUGUUGUUUGGUUUGCAAACUGUAUGACUAGAGUGCAGAAGGGGAAGCUGGAAUUCCACGUGUAGGGGUGAAAUCUGUAGAGAUGUGGAAGAAUACCAGUGGCGAAGGCGAGCUUCUGGUCUGCAACUGACGCUGAAACACGAAAGUGUGGGGAG
rnacentral:rRNA from 1 species